rnacentral:lncRNA from 1 species
CGAGCAGCCUUUAUUAUACACGCUCACAAAAAACCAAUUAGUAGUGUUAAAGUCGGACAGUAAUGAAAUAUUUAAUUUAUCCAAAUAACUUUACGUGACUCUACCACGCAAGUGCACAAAACAUGAACAAUUUUUUUUUGCACAUCCCAAAGAAAUACAUGUGUAAUAAACAACAAAAUUGUGUUGUUCAACUUUUCCAGUAAAGCGUGUUCCUAUGCCUGUGUGCCAAAAACAAAAACAAAAUAUCCUUGCGGUGCCACAAAAUUUUCAUCUCCGGUUUCUGCUAGCGUUUAUAUGUAUAUAGACUCUGAUUUCUGCUUGUUUUGUGCUACAAAAUCUAUAUUAUUAUCCGGUACCGGAUCCAGAACUGCAGCUGGAUUCGCAAUGCUGGCGCUGAGGAAAAGGCAGAUGUGAACCGACAACACCUCCGUGGCAACCUCCUUCAAGCCGAUACGCGACACGUUCCGGUCUCCGCAACCAGAGCGUAUCAUUAGAUCUUCAGCAGCAGGAUGGAUCCUUACAGGAAGUGUUUUAUAUUGUGCCAGAACGGCAUGAAGCUACCGCACAGAGAAACUACUGGUUCGGGGAACCAGUUAGAAUCGAUUUUCAUGGUCGUUUUGUGCUCUUCGUCACAGGGGGUUUUGUCGACAAAAUCUUCCGAAAUUCAUCAGUAAGAUGCUAAUAGUAUCGAUGCAAGUUUUUAGCCCAAUAGCUUACAAAAAACCUCCUGUGACGGAAAGAACAAAACUGCCGAAAAUACUAGUCAUACUAACUCGGCACACAGACAAUAUGAUGUAAAAAUUUAUUCCAUAUAGACAAAAGAGAGUGGAGUGAACUUUAAAAUCAAUCAAUAAUAAACAAUCUAAAUAAAAGUG